rnacentral:misc_RNA from 1 species
AAGUCGUAACAAGGUUUCCGUAGGUGAACCUGCGGAAGGAUCAUUAACACGUGUUCCACGUAUAAACCACCGUGCACUUGUUCUGUUUUGGGGUGCUUCUUCCGGACUCUGCGAGGAGUCUGGAGUCGUGUCCUGUCAUCGGCUUUGCGGCCUUUGACGAAGUUUUCACUUCAUUAACGCUUUUAACAAACCUGUUCUAAAUUGUUGUUUCGAGAGAGCUUUGUCUCUCCCUAAACCAACUCUAAAUAAACAUCGUACAACUCUUAACAACGGAUAUCUUGGUUCUC